rnacentral:lncRNA from 1 species
GGAGGGCGCACCGAGAGAGGGAGGGCGCGGAGAAAGGAGGGAGCUAAGAAGGGAGGGAGGGCAUCGAGGAGGGAGGGCGCGCCGAAGGAGGGAGGACGCAGAGAAAGGAGGGAGUAAGGAGGGAGGGAGGGCGCAGAGGAAGGAGGGCGAGGGUGUGAGGCCGCGGGGAGACUGGGGUUGGCCUGGAGGCCUCCCUGGCCUGGAGAGAGACGGCCGGGGUGCGGGAGGCUGGAUCGGGUGAGGGCAAACCCAGGGCAAGCGCUGCCUGUGAAUGGCUCCAAGAUGAGUAUGCCCAACGUUGCCUCUAGCACUGAUCCCACGCUCUCCUGGAAACAAUAACCAAGAAAGGCUUCUUUGCUGUCCCCGCGCGGUUAAAAAAAAAAAAAGUAUCCUUUUCUCUCUACAGAAACUCAAGAACAGGAAUAGAAGUCCAUCCUUCCAAUAUCCUCCCAUGCCCUCAUGGCAGUCAGGUGACCUAAAUUGACGAGCCUUUUCUCUGCCCCAGGCCGGCCUAUGCGCCCCAAACUGCUCCCUUAGCUCUUCCUCCUUUGCAUACCCUCUCUUAGCCUUGGAUAACUUCUCAGUUUCCGUUCUUGCUGAAGGCGCCAGGCAUCCUGUCUCCAGAGGAAACCCCUUCAAGCCUUUAACCCUGAUGCCGUGGGCUCUAGAAUUGCCUGGACUGCAAACAGUGCAGAAACCACCCUGCAGGACUGUCCAUUUCAGGAGUCAGCACAGUGUUACCCAGUUCCUAGCUUGAGCACCCUGGGGCUACAAGGAAAGUAUUAGAUCCAGUCCCCCUUCCCCCGGAAGCUUGCUAUCUAGUUGCAGAGAAGGGGUGGCGGGUGUUGUGCUGGACUCCCAUCAAGAAACAGGCGGCACAGGAUGUGACUAAGUGUAAGUAAGAUGUGAAUAACUGACAGUAAGUGCCCAGGGUUUUAACGGAGUUUAAAGUCAUCGUCAGGGGAAGCUGGAGGUCUCAUGUGUUGGGACUCUCCAAUUCACAACAAAACGAAGAGGUGGCCUCCAGCUUCUUCCAUUCCGGCUGUUUCCAUCUGAAUUAUACCUUGCAUAGGUGGAAGCUCUUUGGCAGCUCACCAAAACCUAGUUUUAUUUGAAUGGUACCUUUGGCCUGACAGUCACCUAGUCACUCAACAAAUAUUUAUUACAUUUCAUGUCCUGGUCUGGAGCUAAGCUGGGAAUAGACAAUACAAUGACUAUGUCUCUGUGUUUGGCAAGGGAAAAAGAAGAAGGCAAAAGAAAAACUGCUCGGGGAGAAAGAACAACUGAAAUAUGUCUGGCAAGUUGAUUCAAGAAACAGUUGCCCGGCCUCCAAACCUGGAUAAGUCUUCACCAAACUAGGUACAAAGACAAGUUCUUGCUAAAGGUAGACUGAGAAGUGUAAGGAAGAAGACCCAGGGGGACACACUGGAAUGCGCUACAAGUGUAGGCUUGUGAAACAAGCAUUGUGAAACAACUCACUUGUCCUUCCCGGAGAAUGUUCCUCAGUAGUGGCAGAUGCUCUGGAGUGAGAUCUCGAAGUGAUCUGAUACCCCGGCGAUGGCAGAUGGCGAUCAAAUACAGGUCAUCAAGCUGUGCAGAGACCACAGGACAAAACAAGACAAUGCUAGUUUUAGCAAGGAGGCUACCAGCCAGGGCACUCCUACCCCCCAAGGCCAAUCCAGAAGACCCUACAGCAGAGCCAAUGAGCGGGUACCCGAGGUAUGUCUGCCCUGGAUGUCAAGGGAUAGCUGAAGAACAAGAUUUCUGUGUAUUCUUUGGAACUAGGUGUGGUGGUACACGCCUGUAAUCCCAGCACUCAAGCAGAAGGACUGAGGGUUCAAAGUCUCUCUGGGCUAUACAGCAAGACCCUUUCAAAAAAGAAAUUGAGAAAGGAAGAAAAACUAUAAAACAAAAAUUUCCAUCUGGGAAUGUUUACAUAAACUAAGGAGUUGACAGGAAGAGACGGGCAAGUUCUGAAAGCCAAGCA